CUUCACAUCUCUGGACAUAAAUAUUCUGACUUGCAGCUGGGAAACUUCCUUCCAAAUUGUUCCGUUUGUCAGGUUCAAGUACAAAUUUUCAGCUAAAAACCUUCUCUCCUUGGCUCUUAAUGGGUGCUGGCCAACAAACAAAAAAGAGGAAAAGGGAGUGAAUUACAUGACCUGUCUCUUUUUGUUUAUUAAGAACUUCUUUCCAGCGUCUGAUUCUUACGGAAAUAUGGUUUCAAUUUUCUCUUUGAAUUGUGGAUCAAGAAAUGUUGCCAAUACAUAUUUUUCCCUGUCAAAAUUUCAUUUAAUCUGGAGUCUGUGGACGUCUUGAGAGCCACGUCUCCUCGCGGGGUUAUUACCGUGUGUGCCUGUUGUCAUGUUAGCUCUAAAUUGGAAUCACAUUUGUUCCGGAAAGCGGCGCUGGCUCCGCAGUGCAGCGCAGGGCCGUGGUUGGCAGCAGCGUUGCCCGUGCCCAUGGGACGCCCAGGCUGCGUGGCACAGCUCUGCGGGACGGGACCUGCAUGGCCACUUGGUGGAGCACUUGAGGAAGAACUAUACACUGACUCUUUGGCACCAAGUACUGGGUACAGAGCCAGCAGCCACAGCGUCCAGCCCGGAGGAUUCCUGCCUGGAAAGCUGUCUUCCUGGUGACCGUGCAGUGUAAAGGCUGAAGAAGUUGAGAAGUUGGUGCCACUGCCCCGGCGAGUCCUGUUCCGCAGAGUGGCCCACAGCUGCUUGGCUCUGCUGCGCACCUGAGGUUGGACUCAUGAACCAGGAGCAAUGACAAACAGCCCACACUGCGCCCACAGCUCAGCGUCCUCUGCUCUGGGUGCAAAGGAGGAGCCCAGCAGCGUGGCCAGGCAGCGGUGGGGGGUGGGGGGGAAAUACUGGGGAACACAGGGACACGGUGAGGUGGGGACAGAGCUCUGCAGAUAAGCCAUGUGCAGACACAGUAUGGAUGUGAGUUUUGAAGUAAAUACUAAUUUACAUGGCUGCAUCCCAGGAUAAAUCAUAGAAGAUUUAUUGUAACCUUCUUAAAAAAAAAAGGAAAUUGU
rnacentral:lncRNA from 1 species